GGGUCCGGACACACUGAGGAUUGACAGAUAUAUAUACACCGUCGGUACUUGUAUCGCGGUGUUGAAAGAUGCUAGUUCUUUCAUGAUUAUGUGAUAGGUGGUGCAUGGCCGUUCUUAGUUCGUGGAGUGAUCUGUCUGCUUAAUUGCGUAUCAUAAAAAGAGACCUAGUAUACGCGUAAGAUAUCGUUUACGGCUCGUGACCCCCUUCGGGCGUGUGUCGCACGUACGUAUCAUACGCACUGGUCUCCGAUAGCAACGAACGUGACCGUACUCUAUUGUUGCAGCGAAUGUAUGCAUCUUCGGGUGUAUCUACCGCUGCUUAGCAUAUUUCAUGCCUCGUGCGUGUGUAUGCAUUAAACUAUAGAGACCGCUGUAUUUUUUUUAAACCAGAGGAAGGAUACGGCAAUAACAGGUCUGUGAUGCCCUCAGAUGUUCCGGGCUGCACACGUGCUACAAUGAUCAUUGCACUGUGCAUCUAACCCAAUGUGCGUGGACGCCACGGUAUGUAUUUAUGCUUCGGCGUAGUAUAUAUCGGUUGGUCGGCCGCGCCGAACCUACUUCGAAAGUAAAAUUUCUCAGUGGGU
rnacentral:rRNA from 1 species